AAUAAUUUAUAGAAACUUAAGGGCCUGUCCCACUUACGCGUCCUUGGCUUGCAAAUUACGCGACCUCGUGGUCCCUUGAGGCGUACGGACACCGUGUGGUCGCGCGUUGCCGGUCCCACUUAGAAGUGCGGAGGGGUAUGGAGUUGUGCGGGGCCGGUCCCGACAUCGCGCGGGGCUCUGAAAUUCUUGCAGUGAAUGAAAUCUUUGCGCGUCAACAGAACUGACGGCCAAAGUGGGACAGGCCCAAGACCCUGGCGCGACGCAACGUCUGACCUUCAACAGCAGCAGA